GGCGGCGUGCCUAACACAUGCAAGUCGCGCGCGAAAAGGGGCAACCCUUAGUAGAGCGGCGGACGGGUGAGUAACACGUGGGUAAUCUGCCUAGGAGCGGGGGAUAACCUGGGGAAACUCGGGCUAAUACCGCAUACGAUCAUGGGGCCUUGGCCCUGUGCUGAAAGGUGGCCUCUGCUUGCAAGCUACCACUCCUAGAGGAGCCCGCGCCUGAUUAGCUAGUUGGUGGGGUAAUGGCCUACCAAGGCGACGAUCAGUAGCCGGCCUGAGAGGGCGAUCGGCCACACUGGAACUGAGACACGGUCCAGACUCCUACGGGAGGCAGCAGUGAGGAAUCUUGCGCAAUGGGGGAAACCCUGACGCAGCAACGCCGCGUGGAGGAUGAAGGUCUUCGGAUUGUAAACUCCUGUCAGAGGGGACGAAUGCUUGCGGGCUAAUCACCGUAAGUUUGACGGUACCCUCAGAGGAAGCCACGGCUAACUCUGUGCCA
rnacentral:rRNA from 1 species